GACGAACGCUGGCGGCGUGCUUAACACAUGCAAGUCGAGCGACGCUCUUCCUUCGGGGAGAUGACGGAGCGGCGAACGGGUGAGUAACACGUGGGCAACCUGCCCCUAGCUCUGGGACAACACCGGGAAACCGGUGCUAAUACCGGAUACGACAUCGAGCGGCAUCUCUCGAUGUGGAAAGUUUUUUCGGCUAGGGAUGGGCCCGCGGCCUAUCAGCUUGUUGGUGGGGUAAUGGCCCACCAAGGCGACGACGGGUAGCCGGCCUGAGAGGGCGACCGGCCACACUGGGACUGAGACACGGCCCAGGCACCUUCGGGAGGCAGCAGUGGGGAAUAUUGCGCAAUGGGCGAAAGCCUGACGCAGCGACGCCGCGUGAGGGAUGACGGCCUUCGGGUUGUAAACCUCUUUCAGCAGGGACGAAUUCAGACGGUACCUGCAGAAGAAGCACCGGCCAACUACGUG
rnacentral:rRNA from 1 species